ACAUUUACAGUCGUGAGCUAGGACAAAUUUCAGGCCCACCUGAGUCAAAGGCUGAUCAAAGAUACUAAUACCCACUCUCCAACCUUCCCAGCUGAGGAGUGGUUUACCAGGUAACGCUAAGAUGAGGAGAGAAGCAAAAGAGCUGCUUUUGAAUCUGAAGAUGGAAGCAGCAAAUCCCAUGGGGAUCCUGAAUGAGGAGAGGAGGCCCGGCCUAAUAGCUUCCAAAGGGGCGACUGAGUAUCCACAGCUGGGAGACUGGUGAGAGCGGCAUUUCCUUCCACCGAGUCUAUGACACAGAAGCAAAUCGAGUGACUUAUUCUCAACAAUUUCAGGUAAAUGGUUCUUUCCAAGGAUACAGGUUCCUUUGAGAAAGAUUCAAAGACCAAAGUGACUCUGAUCCCACUUGCAUCAUGUAAUGAGCUCUUCAGGGACACAGGUGUUCACCACACAUUUCCCCGUCAAUAUAACUCAAGGGUUCAGGGUAGAGUUGCUACAUCCACCAUGUCAUUCUUCAGCUGGCGGAGGGUAACAGGGACUAUUCAGCACAGUCUUGAUCUCAGGAGUUUACAGCCCAGCUGGGAAGCCAGCUUCCAGCACACACACACACAAAUGCACAAACUGGAGGAUGAUUGAAGAAAUCAAGCUAUAUCCCUAAACAUUUAUGUAUGUAUGCAUACAUCCAUGUGUAUACAUGCACGUAAAUAUGGGUAUGCAUGCGUCUAUGUGUGUGUGCAUAUGUACAAACAUAUGCAUAUGUAAGCAUAUAGGUGUAUAUGUGUAAUGGACUGAAUGCCCUCCUCCCCAAAUUCAUAUGUUGAAAUCCUAAUCCCCAAUGCGAUGGGGUCUUUGGGAGGGUGGAGCCCUCACCAAUAAGAUUAGUAUCCUUAUAAAAGUCAUGAAAAAUUAGCUUGGCAUAGUGGUAUGCAACUGUAUUCCCAGCUGCUCAGGAGGCUAAGGUGGGAGGAUAGAACCACUGCACUCCAGCCUGGGUGAUGGAGCGAGACCUUGUCUCUAGAAGAGUCAUGAGAGAGUUUGUUUCCCCUUUCUGCUCUCUGUCAUGUGAGAAUACAAGAAGAAGUCAGAGGUCCGUCACCCAGAAGAAGGCUCUUGCUAGAACGCAACCAUGCCGCCACCCAGUUCUCAGACUCCCAGCUUCCAGAACUGUGUGAAAUAAAUUCCCGUGUUUAUAAACCACCCAGUAUGGUAUUUUCUUAAAGCUGCCAGAACUAAGAUAGUAUGUAUGUAUAUGCAUCUGCAUAAUAACCAUUCUAAGCAUAGUGGCUUAAGACAACUGUAACAUUUUAUUGUUAUGUCUCACAUUUUUAAGGGCUGACCGGCCUCAGGUAGGUGGUCCUUACAAUUGCAAUCAUAUGCUGGCUGGACCUGGAAACGUGAAGGCUCAAACACUCAUUGCCUGUCUGGCCUCUGGGCUAGGGGAACUCAAACACCUGGGAGCUGGAACAGCUGGGGCUCCCUGGCCUCUCCAAGUCUGUGUUCUUGCCAUGUGGUCUUCUCAGCUUGGAGACUUCUCACAUAGUGGCUCAGAGCUGCACGUGCACAUGUCAAGAGAGUGCCAGAAGGAAAUCAUACAGCCUUUUAUGAUCUGGCAUAGGAAGUCACGCAGAACAUUUCCACUGCCUUCUGCUGGUCAUGGCGGUUACAAAGAUCUAACCAUUCUUAAAAGGAGGGGGAAGUGGACCCUAUCUCUUCAUUUUUGGUGGGGGAGGACAAGAUUCUAGAAGAGUAUGUUUUCUUGGAGUUCUUGCUAUGGUCAUUUGGGAAGAUGCAAUCUGCCACUAUUUCUUCCUACCUGAACUGAUAGCCAUAGCUAUAACCAUAUUGAUAACAAUUGAUAGCUAUUAAUAUGGAUCAGACAGUGAGUGGGAAGUGAGGUCACGAAGGAAGGUGUCAGUGUGAGCCAGCACAGUGAGUAAAGGCUGCAUGGGGCAAGUCAGGCUUGAGUGGAGCCUUAGAGAAGGACUGCAGGAGGCAGUCCAGGUGGACAGGGAAGCAGAGACAAGGUGUGGGGGUGGGGGAGGAGCAGAGCCAUCCAGAGUUUGAACGAGGUGGUGGCUCUUUAAUGCUGCGGUCCCCAACCUUUUUGGCAUGGGGACCCAUUAUGUGGAAGACAAUUUUUCCAUGGACUGGUGGGAAGGGAGGGGGUUGGAGAUGAUUCAAGCACUUAAAUUUAUUGUGUACUUAAUUUCUAUUAUUAUUACAUUGUACUACGUAAUGAAAUAAUUAUGCAACUCACCUCCAUGUAGAAUCAGUGGGAGCCCUGAGCUGGUUUUCCUGCAACUAGACUGUCCCAUCUAGGGGUGAUGGGAGAUAGAGACAGAUCGUCAGGCAUUAGAAUUUCAUGAGGAGUGUGCAAGCUAGAUCCCUUGCAUGUGCAGUUCACAAUAGGGUUCAUGCUCCUAUGAGACUCUAAUGCCACCACUGAUCUGACAGGAGGCACAGCUCAGGUGAUAAUGUGAGCCAUGGGGAGCGGCUGUAAAUACAGAUGAAGCUUUGCUCACUCGUCCACCACUCACCUCCUGCUGUGCGGCCCAGUUCCUAACAGGCUAAGGAUUGGUACUGGUCCAUGGCCUGGGGAAUGGGGACCUCUGCUUUAAUGCAUUUCUGCUUGAACAAACAGCCAAGGUCUCCAGCAGAAACAGUAGCAUCUCUUAAUAUGUUAAUAUCGUUGUUCCCAUUGCAUGCUCUUUCCUGAUCCUCAUGAGAACUCGAGAGCUCUGCGUUUCACAGAGUGGGAAACUGAGGCCCAGUUCACAAAGUAAGGAGAUCCACUUGAUCUUCUGAGGCAAGUGUCCUUCCUUCUACACCACAGCAGCCUCUUCAGAAUCAACAUUAGACAUGGUUUAGCUCACAUUUCUCCCCAGGCUCAAAGGGGAAAAAAUGUGCCUAUGCAAACCCUAACUUUGUUUUUAUCCAAAAGAAAUGACUGCACCUUGCAAGCAUCUGCAAGACCAUGUGGAAUUGCAUUAAAUUUCACAGUACAUUAGAACCCAAAAUGGGACCCAAGACUAAAAUUGGCCAACUUCCUAAUUAGCCUUUUACUAAGCCUCGGGCUGGAGAAACACGACCCUGGAGGAUGUAGCGUCUGGGAUUUUGCUCCUCAUUGCAGGCCUUGUGGUAAGUAUCUUUCUCCAGCUAGAGCUUCCUAUUUAGAUGAAAUGGUCCUAGCCCUUUCUACCCAAAAAGGGACUGGUUUGGAGUUCUUGCCUUAUUUAAGUGCCAGAAAUGUCUACUUGUGUCCCAACAUUUGUCAUGGGCUAAGAAUGAGCUAGGAGCUGACUCAGAUUCUCCUGUUGCCUGAGAUACAUCCUGAUGGAAAGCAUGUUGGCACCUUUUGUAGGAACUCUUUCUAUGCCCCAGGGCCCCUUUUCCACAUGUGUACAUUUUAAGGCCAUGGGGUAAAUGACCGUACCCCAUGGGGUAAAUGGCUGGUACCCCAAUGUCUACUUGGUGUGUUGGAACCCACAAGGAGAAGGCAGAAAGAGUUGAUACUGGGGCUUGCAAAAGAGCCCAGCUUACAACAGAAAGAAGUUUAGACACUGGGGAAGAACAGGCCUGAUGCUGUUAUUGCUCCCAUAAACUCCUCUGAAAGUUGCUAUAAUGGAACAGAAGCUGGCAGUCAGGGUUCUGUCCGCCUCGCUGGAAAGCCCUUUACCAUUUUGCUAACUCCAGCUCCCAGACUGCUUCCACACCCAGGAACCAGCACCCAGGGCUCCGUUGUGCUGAAGUUCCCCUCUGUGGGAUUCUGCUUGACACCAUGCCCUUCUUGACCUCCUGCCUUUUCCUGGUCACACUGUGUGCUCUCUCACCAGUUUUUCCAAGGAGCACUUCCAGCACGGCUUUCUCAGGAAUGCUCAUGCCAGGCUCAGCUUCUGGCAACCCAGGCUAACUCAGGAGCCACAUAAAUGCUGCUUCUUCCACGAACAUUCUCUUGAUCAUUCCAAAGGAAUCCUGCAAUAAAUUGCUAUAGAGAUUGGGAAUCCAACCAUGUGAGUGCAGGCAGGAGGGUGGGCGAUGUCAACUUGUUCCCCACAGCCCUGAGCUGUGUGGGGAUAUGGCUUCAUAUGCUCCUUUAAUGUGACAGGGUCCUGAGUGAACCACACACAUAACUCCACAGACCGUCAGCUCCUGAGUGUCUGUUUUUGCUCAGUGGAAAAGCACAUUUCCUGUUGAGACUCCAGCAUGCCUAUGGGGCCUUGCUGCACGGAGACCGGCUGGCUGGUGUUGAGGAUGGAUUGAUGCUAGACUAGGCUUGCUCUGGGAAAUCAUCAGUGAGAAGCGGGUGAGGCCAGGAGUAGAGAAGCCGCAGAAACAACCACCCGUGGCCAAAGUUUCCAUUCCCUGUGCCAGCCAAAGGGAGCCGGGGUGUCCCAGAGGCAUGUCUGACUCGUCUGCACUGAGAGGAGGCAGGGAGAGCGUCUUCUCAGUGUUUUCACUGGCUUGAACACGUUCCAGACAUUUCUAUGUUCUUCUGUCACAUCAUUUUUAAAAAAAAAUCUUGCUAUUACCGGAAGCUCAGAUCCAAAGAGCCAAACAGAAUCCACUGUGUGGCUAUGUAUUGGUGUAUUGGAAGGAGGCACAGACUCAGGUGACAACAGAAUGCCCAGCCCGAAAUCUGGAGUGCUGUGAAGGAUGUGGAUAUUAGAACCACAUGGUAUGGAAGAAAAUGGCAAGUUGGGUUUGAGAAUGGAAAAGAUGGUACUUUUUUGUGACCAUUUCCAAAUAACAGAAAGGGAAGUUUUAGAGAAAAGGCAAGAGGUGAAGUGAAUGGUCAGGGCAAGAUUGGGCACAGCCGAGGGAGUUAAGUCUUGCAAAUAUUAUCCACUCGAAAGGUAUGGACCACACACAUUUUGGCCAGCCUUGCCUUUCCUGGGGGAAGCUGUACUGCCAUAAAACGAAUGAAAUCAGCUCUUUUUAUGCUCUCAUAUUUUAACAAGCCUGGAUGAAUAGCUGAGUGGCUACAUCCACAGCUGGCGAUGCUCUACAGAGUGAGGCGUUCAUGUCUGACCAGCUACAUUCGCUUAUGUAUCCACCCCUUCCCCUACUUUUACAAAACAUGUCUACAAGCUGAGAAGGAAAGGGCUGGAAAGGAAAGUGAGUUCUCAUAGACAGAUGAAUGAUGUCUCCUUGUAAAGGUGACAAGAACUUGUAUUCCAGCCCAAUGUGAAAUACAGGCAGGACAACCACAUGACUAUGUCUUGUAGAUGCUGUUGGUGCCCGCUCAGAAACCCUUUCUGGGGCUGAUGCAUCCACCUCCUGAUAAAGGCUAAGAGUAACUUCUCCAGAGUUACACUUGGCCGGUGCAUGCAACCUCACCCAGAAAUGCCUAGAAGAUUAAGUCCUCACUCCCAGAUGGGUGGUAGACACUAGGGUCCAAAGGCCAGCUCCUGCCUCAAGGCAGGACAGCUCUGUGGUGCCAUUCACACUCCAUGGUCUCCUGGGAUCUGCCUAAAGCUGAUCUGCAGCCAAGACCACCCCUUUGCUGCCUCCUUUCCUGCCUGAUCCUGUUUCUCUCGCUCCCCUUCUCUGGAGAUCUCUCCAGCGAGAAAUGACUUGCACAAGAAUCUCUGUCUCGGGGACCCAAACCGAGACAACCUCUUCAGUUGGCUUUUGUUCUAAGUCUCCAAAGGAAUGGGGCAUCCCUUUGAAUUGUAAAAUGGAUCAGAGGUGAAUCCUCUAGCCUUUUAGGGAUGGCCAGAGCAAGCUUUGCCUCUUAAUCCCUGUAAGUCACUGCAGCCCAGAGCUGGAUGACUGGGUCUAGCUCUUUCUGUCCCAAAUUCCAGGCUCAGGAAAACCCUAGUCCAGGCUGUGUACCCUGGAAACUGACCUACAGCACAGAACCAAAUUUGGAUUAGACACCAAAAAACAAUAUGCACCCCCAAACUCCCACCCCAAACAUCCUUGCAAUCGUUAAGAUGGGGUAGUAUUUCCUUCCCCCAAAUCUCCCUUUGAAGCUUGAAGAGGGAUUCUGGAAGGGUUUUAUAUUUUAAUAAGUUUGUUUCCCAGAUGUUUUUAUCACUUGGAAGGCAAUGAAUCUGGACAGAACCAAGCAUCCUCAUUGAGAUGCUCUAAAGAUUCGUGUUUGCAAAGUUUCUCUCCACUAAUUUUGUAGCUCUGCUAGAUGGAGCCAGUUUACUGCAAGAGUGCUUCUCUGCUGAAGGAUUUUCAAUUCUGGAGAAAGAUUUUGCUCUCCUUUAUCACAAGGACUAAAACUGUCUAAAAAGUUUUCCACAGGCAUGAUUUAUUUGGGUGGGUAUGGACUACAGAUGGGCAAACCCAGGGUCUAAGUACUCAGAUAACACAGACAGCAUGUCUGCUGGGGACAUGGGGGCCUGGGGGCCGAGGCUGAGCCUCACAGAGAGAUACCCAUCAAAAGAAGGAUCUCCAGUCACAGACCCUCUCUCCCUCCAUGCAGAUCUAUGCACCCCAGGCCCUGGGGAGCUGCCCGGAAAGAGCGUGAGCUAUUUUGACUUGGAAUGCGGCAAGCUAGGCCAAGGAAGUUGGAGCCAAGAGAUACAGUGUCCAGCAAGCACACCCGAGAGAGAGCAUUUCCCUCCAAAUCAGGUCUGUGAGGAGCCAAAGAGGCAAGCAGCAUAGUGGACCAUCUGCAGCACGACCCUAGAAAGUCUGCCUCAUUGCAGUGUUUCUGGAGUGUGGAGGGCUGAGUCAUUCUCUCAGGGCAGGGGAUGAGCGGGCCAUUGGCUUGAGAAGUGUUUCCCUGACUUGCCCUUAGCCUAACUGAUCCCCCCAACUAAGAUUCUUACCCUCCAGCUCCAGUGUUCCCAUUUUAUGAUCCAUCCUCUUUCCCUAAGAAAGCACCCAGAUUCUCUCCUCUUACCCACCCUCUGACAUCCCAUGAUUGCUUCACAUUUUCAGGCUAUUCUACCCUUUUAUCCUCAGCCUGGUCCUAAGAAUGCAGAAAAUAGUCAAUAAAAGGUGGUUGAAGAAGCAUA